GCCCAGUGAUGAGACCAAGGCGAAUAUGAGCCCACUGAUUUAGAGGCUGAGCUCUCCUGUGCUCCCAUUGGCUGGUAAUCUUGGCUGGACAGAGGAGAUUUGCUGUUCUGCUGUAAGGGCUUGCCUACAUUCAACUAGCUCAUCCCUCUUUCUAUCCUUUAAAGAAAUGGGGGAGAUAAAGAAGGGGAGCUCACAGUGUGCGUGUGUGAAGGGUCACAGGUUGAGUCUCAGUGCUCUGGAAUAAAUCUGUGGGCAUUGAGCUCUCUCUUUGGUAAUCUGAGGGAA